rnacentral:rRNA from 1 species
AACGAACGCUGGCGGCAUGCCUAACACAUGCAAGUCGAACGAGACCUUCGGGUCUAGUGGCGCACGGGUGCGUAACGCGUGGGAACCUGCCCUUAGGUUUCGAAUAACUCCCCGAAAGGGGUGCUAAUACCGGAUAAUGUCUUCGGACCAAGGAUUUAUCGCCUUUGGAUGGGCCCGCGUUGGAUUAGCUAGUUGGUAGGGUAAAAGCCUACCAAGGCGACGAUCCAUAGCUGGUCUGAGAGGAUGAUCAGCCACACUGGGACUGAGACACGGCCCAGACUCCUACGGGAGGCAGCAGUGGGGAAUAUUGGACAAUGGGCGAAAGCCUGAUCCAGCAAUGCCGCGUGAGUGAUGAAGGCCUUAGGGUUGUAAAGCUCUUUUACCCGAGAUGAUAAUGACAGUACCGGGAGAAUAAGCUCCGGCUAACUCCGUG